CGAAAGCCUGACGGAGCAACGCCGCGCUGAGGGAGGAAGGUCUUUGGAUUGUAAACCUCUUUUCUCAAGGAAGAAAAAAAUGACGGUACUUGAGGAAUCAGCCUCGGCUAACUCCGUGCCAGCAGCCGCGGUAAUACGGGGGAGGCAAGCGUUAUCCGGAAUUAUUGGGCGUAAAGCGUCCGCAGGUGGUCAGCCAAGUCUGCUGUCAAAGCAUGGAGCUUAACUCCAUACCGGCGGUGGAAACUGGCAGACUAGAGAUCAGUAGGGGUAGCAGGAAUUCCCAGUGUAGCGGUGAAAUGCGUAGAGAUUGGGAAGAACAUCAGUGGCGAAGGCGCUCUACUGGGCCGUAACUGACACUCAGGGACGAAAGCUAGGGGAGCG
rnacentral:rRNA from 1 species